ensembl:lncRNA
UGGCAAAAGAGUAAAAGUGGGUAUGCAUAUGCAAAAAAGUGGAGCUCUGGUCCACGCUUGGCACCAUAUACAAAAUAUAAAUCUCAAAAUCAAUCAUAGAUCUAAAUAUAAAAUCUCAAACUGUAAAACUUAACUGAAUAACAGGAGAAAAUCUUUGUGACUUUGUUUAGGCCAAGAUUUCUGAGCUAUGACACCGAAAGCACAAUACAUAAAAAUGAAUUGGAUUUUGUCAAAAUUGAAAAAAAACUUUGCUCUGUAAAAGAUAACUGUUAAGAGAAUGAGAGGAAAAGCCACAGACUGGGAGAAAAUAUUUAUAAAUCAUAAACUAAUAAAAAACUUUUAUCCAGAAAAUAUAAAGAACUUUUAAUCAUAAGAUAAUAAAAAAAUUUAAUUAGAUAAAUAUUUAAGUAGAUACUUCAUCAGAAAAUAUAUAAAUGGAAAGCACAUAAAAAGAUCUCAACAUCAUUUGUCAUUACAAAUUAAAAUCAUAAUGAGAUACUACUACGUACUUAUCAGAAGAGCUAAAAUUAGAAUGACUGAACAUACCAAGUCUUCGCAAAGAUGUAAAAGAACCAAAAUCUUCAUACAUUACUGGGAGAAAUAUAAAGUGGCAGAACAACUUUGGAAAAACAUUCAGCCAUUUCUUACAAAGUUUAAUGUUCACUUCCUUUAUGACUGAAACCUCUCACUCCUAGAUACUUACUUACCUAAGAGAAGUGAAAGCAUGAAGAUUUACAUGUUUAUAUUACACCGCAAAGGAAACCAUCAACUAAAUAAAAAGGCAACUUCCAUAAUGAGGAAAAUGUUUACAAGUAAUAUAUUGAUAAGAGGUUAUAAUAUAAAGAGCUCAUACAACCAAAUAGCAAAAAAAAGUAAUUUUAAAAUGGGCAGUGGAUCUGAAUGGAUGUUUUUCCGAAGAAGACACUCAACGGACAACAGGUACAUGAAAAGAUGGUUUGGGGUUUUUUUUAGUUUUUUUUUUUUUUUUUUUUUUUUUGCCGAGCUAUGUGGCUUGAGGGAUCUUCAUUCCCCAACCAGGAUUGAACCUAGGCUCUCAGCAGAGAAAGUAUGGACUCCUAACCACUGGACCACGAGGGAAUUUCUGAAAAGAUAUCCCAUAUCAGUAAUCCUCAGGGUAAUGCAAACCAAAACCACAGUGAACUAUCAUCUCAUAGCUGUUAACAAAAAGAUAAGAAAUAGCAAGUACGUGGCAAGGGUGUGGAGAGUAGGGAGGUCCUGUGCACUGUGAGUGGGAAUGUAACUUGGUGCAGCCACUAUGGAAAACAGUAUGGAGGAUUCUCAAAAAGUUAGUACACCUGUAUGGCCCAACCGCUACAUUUCUGGGUAUUUAUCUGAAAAACAUGGAAACACUAAUUUGAAAAGAUACAUUCACCCCUGUGUUUAUUGUGCCUUUAUUUAUAAUAGUCAAGAUAUUGAAACAGCAUGUGUGUGUGUGUAUCAGUGGGUGAAUGGAUAAAGAUGUGACUUACAUAUACAAAAGAAUGAAAUCCUGCUACUUGCAACAACAUGGAUGGACCUUGAAGGUAUUAUGUUAAGUAAGUUGGAGAAAGACAAAACGCUUAUGAUUUCACUAGUAUGUGAAAUCUUAAAAAGUAAAAACAAACUCCUAGAUACAGAGAUCAGAUUAGUGGUUACCAGAGGGAAAGGAGGUCAAUUGUAUGGUGAUGAAUGGUAACGAAAUUUGUGAUGGUGCUCACUUUGUAGUUAAACAGAUGUUGAAGUAUAAUGCUGUACUGUUGAAGUGUAUAUACCUUUUUAAAAAUACGCCUACCAUAUGAUCCAGCAGUUCUAUUUCUGGAUGUUUAUCUGAAGGAAGUGAAAAUGCUAACUGGAAAAAAAUAUACUCACCCCCAUGUUCGUUGCAGCAUUAUUUAUUAUAGCCAAGACAUUGAAGCAACUUAAGUGUCUUUUAAUGAAUGACUGAUGAAGAAAAUGUAUAUAUGUGUAUAUAUGUACAUGUGUGUAUGCAUAUAGACAAUGGAAUAUGAUUCAGCCAUUUAAAAAGAAAGAAAGCUUGCCAUUUAUGACAACUUGGGUGGACCCUGUCUGCUGAGUCAAAUGGAGAAAGACAGAUAUCAGAUGUGCUUACUUAUAUGUGAAAUCUAAGAAGAAAACAAAAAACUCAAACUCAUAGUAAUGGGUUCUUGGUUUGAGGAGUGGGAGAAAUGGUCGAAGAGAAUCAAAAGAUACAAACUUACACAGUUAUAAAAUAAACCAUGGGUUUGUAAUGUACAACAUGGUGACUACAGCUAAUGAUAUCGUAUAUUUGAAAGUUGCUAAGGGUAUGUCUUAAAAGUUUUCAUCACAAGAAAAAAAGAUCUGCAGCUGUGCAUGGACUUAAUGUGGUGAUCAUUUGACAAUAUGUACAAACAUUGAAUCAUAUUGUGUGCCUAAUAUUAGUAUAAUGUUGAAUGUCAAUUAUAUCUCAAUUUUUUAAAAAAGACUUACUUGUAGCAGCUUUAUUUGUAAUGGCACCAAACUGGAAACAAAACAAAUAUCCAUCAAC